GAGAGAUGCUCGCUAGCAAUGAAGACUGCUAAUCUUCGCCUCCUUGGUUGAACCCCAAGGCUCACUCG
rnacentral:tRNA from 1 species